rnacentral:rRNA from 1 species
UGCCUAACACAUGCAAGUCGUGCGAGAACGUCCCCUUCGGGGGAUUAGUAAAGCGGCGAACGGGUGAGUAACACGUGAGUGAUCUGCCCGAGGGUGGGGGACAACCCAGGGCAAACCUGGGCUAAUACCGCGUACAGCGGCGGGAGUAGUAGCCCCGUCGUGAAAGCUGGCCUCUCGUAGAAGCUAGCGCCUUCGGAUGAGCUCGCGGCCUAUCAGCUUGUUGGUGGGGUAACGGCCUACCAAGGCUAUGACGGGUAGCUGACGUGAGAGCGUGAUCAGCCACACUGGGACUGAGACACGGUCCAANACUAAUACGGGAGGCAGCAGUGGGGAAUCUUGCGCAAUGGGCGAAAGCCUGACGCAGCGACGCCGCGUGGGGGAGGAAGGUCUUAGGAUUGUAAACCCCUGUCAGGUGGGACAAACCAUGUAUCGGCAAAUAGCCGGUAUGUCUGACGGUACC